UACAUAGGGGGCAAGCGUUAUCCGGAAUUACUGGGUGUAAAGGGUGCGUAGGCGGUUAAACAAGUCAGAUGUGAAAACCCAUUGCUUAACGAUGGGAAUGCAUUUGAAACUAUUUGACUAGAGUAUGGGAGAGGUAAGUGGAAUUCCUAGUGUAGCGGUAAAAUGCGUAGAUAUUAGGAAGAACACCAGUGGCGAAGGCGACUUACUGGACCAAAACUGACGCUGAGGCACGAAAGCGUGGGGAGCAAACAGG
rnacentral:rRNA from 1 species